GGUAUGUGUAGGGGUCUGACAAGAUUCGCUCUGCUUCCUGAAAAUAUUUACUCUUAGGAGUGACUACUAUGCCUUUAUCUGCUGGCUUAAUUAUGAUAUCUUUAUUUUGUUUCAAUUCUUUCACUGCCUUCUUUUCUUUGCUUGACAUGUUUUGUUGAUACUUAUUUAACGGUUUAAUUUUCUUUAUUUCUUUCAUUACCAUUAUUUCAAACGUCUUUAUCUCGUCUGAAAUAAGGUGCUUGG